AGCAGCCGCGGUAAUUCCAGCUCCAAUAGCGUAUAUUAAAGUUGUUGCAGUUAAAAAGCUCGUAGUUGAACUUCGGGCUUACUUGUACUGUCAGGCCUCUGGCCUCGUACGGUACGGGUUUGCCUUACCUUCUGAGGACUCGGGUACUCUUAACUGGGUGCUUCGAGGACUCAGGACUCUUACCUUGAAUAAAU
rnacentral:rRNA from 1 species